rnacentral:rRNA from 1 species
GACGAACGCUGGCGGCGUGCUUAACACAUGCAAGUCGAGCGGUAAGGCCCUUUCGGGGGUACACGAGCGGCGAACGGGUGAGUAACACGUGGGUGACCUGCCCUCAGCUCUGGGAUAAGCCUGGGAAACCGGGUCUAAUACUGGAUAUGACUCCAUGACGCAUGUUGUGGGGUGGAAAGCCUUGUGCGGCUGAGGAUGGGCCCGCGGCCUAUCAGCUUGUUGGUGGGGUGANGGCCUACCAAGGCGACGACGGGUAGCCGGCCUGAGAGGGCGACCGGCCACACUAGGACUGAGACACGGCCCAGACUCCUACGGGAGGCAGCAGUGGGGAAUCUUGCGCAAUGGGCGAAAGCCUGACGCAGCGACGCCGCGUGAGGGAUGACGGCCU